AACGAACGCUGGCGGCAGGCCUAACACAUGCAAGUCGAACGCCCUAGCAAUAGGGAGUGGCAGACGGGUGAGUAACACGUGGGAACCUUCCCUAUAGUACGGAAUAUACCAGGGAAACUUGGAGCAAUACCGUAUACGCCCGAGAGGGGAAAGAUUUAUCGCUAUAGGAUGGGCCCGCGUAGGAUUAGCUAGUUGGUGAGGUAAUGGCUCACCAAGGCGACGAUCCUUAGCUGGUUUGAGAGAACGACCAGCCACACUGGGACUGAGACACGGCCCAGACUCCUACGGGAGGCAGCAGUGGGGAAUAUUGGACAAUGGGCGCAAGCCUGAUCCAGCCAUGCCGCGUGAGUGAUGAAGGCCUUAGGGUUGUAAAGCUCUUUUGCCGGGGACGAUAAUGACGGUACCCGGAGAAUAAGUCCCGGCUAACUUCGUGCCAGCCGCCGCCGUAAC
rnacentral:rRNA from 1 species